rnacentral:tmRNA from 1 species
CGGUGCCGCUGCCAUAAGGCAGCCCGUUCCUCCCGGGAGUACCGCGGCCCGGGAAUGAACGUCAGCGAGCGGUGAACGUGAUUCCGGAAGGCCGUCGGCCGGAAUCAUGUACAAGACGGCUUACCGCACCGGCAGCCUGUAUGUCGGCGGCCGGCAGGGAAGCUAAAAAGACAUACUGCACCCGGAGAAAGCCGUACUGACGGAUUUUCGGACAGGAGUUCGAUUCUCCUCGCCUCCACCA